CUCGUAGGCGGCCAACUAAGUCAGACGUGAAAUCCCCAGGCUCAACCUGGGAACUGUGUCUGAUACUGGAUGGCUUGAAUCCGGGAGAGGGAUGCAGAAUUCCAGGUGUAGCGGUGAAAUGCGUAGAUAUCUGGAGGAAUACCGGUGGCGAAGGCGGCAUCCUGGACCGGCAUUGACGCUGAGGAGCGAAAGCUAGGGGAGCAAACG
rnacentral:rRNA from 1 species